UACGUAGGGUGCAGGCGUUAAUCGGAAUUACUGGGCGUAAAGCGUGCGCAGGCGGUUUCUUAAGUCAGAUGUGAAAGCCCCGGGCUUAACCUGGGAACUGCGUUUGAAACUGGGAGACUUGAGUGUGGCAGAGGGGGGUGGAAUUCCUGGUGUAGCGGUGAAAUGCGUAGAUAUCAGGAGGAAUACCGGUGGCGAAGGCGGCCUUCUGGACGAUGACUGACGCUGAGACGCGAAAGCGUGGGGAGCAAACAGG
rnacentral:rRNA from 1 species